rnacentral:rRNA from 1 species
GCGACAGGUGCUGCAUGGCCGUCGUCAGCUCGUGCCGUGAGGUGUUGGGUUAAGUCCCGCAACGAGCCGCAACCCUUAUCCCUUUGUUGCCAGCGGUCCGGCCGGGAACUCAAAGGAGACUGGCCAGUGAUAAACUGGAGGAAGGUGGGGAUGACGUCAAGUCAUCAUGGCCCUUACGACCAGGGCUACACACGUGCUGCAAUGGCGCAUACAAAGAGAAGCGACCUCGCGAGAGCAAGCGGACCUCAUAAAGUGCGUCGUAGUCCGGAUUGGAGUCUGCAACUCGACUCCAUGAAGUCGGAAUCGCUAGUAAUCGUGGAUCAGAAUGCCACGGUGAAUACGUUCCCGGGCCUU